GCAGUACCAAAUAUAUUUACUCUGAAUAAACUGCUGAUUGUUAAACUUUAACUCCUCGUCUGAGUCGAUCCUUGACCGACUCGCUCACCUGUGCACCUCACCUUUUAUCAACAUAACUUUGGUGGCAGAGGAGGGUC